AUUGAACGCUGGCGGCAGGCCUAACACAUGCAAGUCGAGCGAGCGGCGGACGGGUGAGUAAUGUCUGGGAAAAUGCCUGAUGGAGGGGGGUAACUACUGGAAACGGUAGCUAAUACCGCAUACCAUCAGAUGUGCCCAGAGGGGAGUAGAUAGUAGGUGGGGUAACGGCCCACCUAGGCGCCGAUCCCUAGCUGGGCUGAGAGGAUGACCAGACACCCGGGAAUGGAGACAGGGCCCAGACUCCUACGGGAGGCAGCAGGGGGGAAUAUUGCAAAAUGGGCGAAAGCCUGAUGCAGCCAUGCGGCGUGGAUGAAGAAGGCCUUCGGGUUGUAAAGCACUUUCAGCGAGGAGGCGUUACCCGCAGAAGAAGCACCGGCUAACUCCGUGCCAGCAGCCGCGGUAAUAC
rnacentral:rRNA from 1 species